rnacentral:piRNA from 1 species
UUCCCAGCCUUAAGAUGCUUCUAGGCAGCGU